GGCCCAACAGGUUGUACCAUACCGAACUGCAGAGAGUACUGAUGCCCAGCACUUUGGAAUCACUAACACAAUACAUAAUCAGAAAAAAAGAAAAAAAAAAAAAAAAAAGGUUUUGCAACUCUAUAGCAAACCAAAUGGUGGUAUUAUUAAACUUAUGAUUUAACCCAAUUGCUGACUGCUACAUCAUAAUACAACCUCAUGCAGCAGCAUACAAAGAAUGAGGAUCCUGGUGUGGCCAUACUGUUUUGUGGCUCUGGUAGCAGGAUGCUAGUUCUUCCUUUGUCAGAUCUUCUCAUCUAAUGACAUCAAAGCAGCUGAAAAAUGUAAGCUAGGUUAAGAUGAAUGCAUGUGUCACUUGUACUCCCCUGGCUGGGAGCCUCAACCCUGACCAAAACAAAGUCCUUGCAGGAUCCAGGCUUCAACCUGCAGAUUUUCCAUGGCAGAAACCUGUGCUCAUAUUUAUCCCUGAAAAUUACAUGGGGACAAUGAAGAGAGAUCAUGAGUUUGAGCUGGCACAAGUGUUGAAGGAGUCUCCAGUGCAAGCUGAUGCCCCUCAUUAAAAUACCAGGGAUUUUUGCUACCUGACUCAGGUAGAAGUUCUCCAGGUGCAAAAAUUGCAAAAAUAAAGCAGUUCAAGUGUAUUACA
rnacentral:lncRNA from 1 species